UACGGGGGGGCAAGCGUUGUUCGGAAUUACUGGGCGUAAAGGGCUCGUAGGCGGCCAACUAAGUCGGAUGUGAAAUCCCCAGGCUUAACCUGGGAACUGCAUCCGAUACUGGAUGGCUUGAAUCCGGGAGAGGGAUGCGGAAUUCCAGGUGUAGCGGUGAAAUGCGUAGAUAUCUGGAGGAACACCGGUGGCGAAGGCGGCAUCCUGGACCGGCAUU
rnacentral:rRNA from 1 species